UACGAAGGACCCGAGCGUUAUCCGGAUUUAUUGGGUUUAAAGGGUGCGUAGGCGGAUUUACAAGUCAGUGGUGAAAUCUCCCAGCUUAACUGGGAAACUGCCAUUGAAACUGUUUAUCUUGAGUACAUUUGAGGCGGGCGGAAUGUGUCAUGUAGAGGUGAAAUUCUUAGAUAUGACACAGAACACCAAUUGCGAAGGCAGCUCGCUAAACUGUAACUGACGCUGAGACGCGAAAGCGUGGGGAGCAAACAGG
rnacentral:rRNA from 1 species